rnacentral:rRNA from 1 species
AAUUGGAGGGCAAGUCUGGUGCCAGCAGCCGCGGUAAUUCCAGCUCCAAUAGCGUAUAUUAAAGUUGUUGCAGUUAAAAAGCUCGUAGUUGAAUUUCGGGAUCAAUAUUUCGGUCAUGCCGUUGGUAUGCACUGUUAUCAUUGAUUUCUCACCUUCUAAAGAACCGUAAUGCCAUUAAUUUGGUGUUACGGGGAAUCAGGACUGUUACCUUGAAAAAAUUAGAGUGUUUAAAGCAGGCUCACGCUUGAAUACAUUAGCAUGGAAUAAUGAAAUAGGACAUCCGAUUCUAUUUUGUUGGUUUCUAGGAUCGAUGUAAUGAUUAAUAGGGAUAGUUGGGGGCAUUAGUAUUCAAUUGUCAGAGGUGAAAUUCUUGGAUUUAUUGAAGACUAACUACUGCGAAAGCAUUUGCCAAGGAUGUUUUCAUUAAUCAAGAACGAAAGUUAGGGGAUCGAAGACGAUCAGAUACCGUCGUAGUCUUAACCAUAAACUAUGCCGACUAGGGAUCGGAUGAUGUUAAUUUUUUAAUGACUCAUUCGGCGCCUUACGGGAAACCAAAGUGU